GGCUGGGGCGCUUUCACUUGGAAAGUACGGGAUCCCGUCCGCUCUCCCUUAGUCAAACCGGUAAUCGGCGGAUUAGUAGUUACGUCGGUGACGACCAGCGAAUUCCCGCUGCUGUACGUU
rnacentral:rRNA from 1 species